GACGAACGCUGCGGCGUGCUUAACACAUGCAAGUCGAGCGGUAAGGCCCUUUCGGGGGUACACGAGCGGCGAACGGGUGAGUAACACGUGGGUGACCUGCCCUUAGCUCUGGGAUAAGCCUGGGAAACUGGGUCUAAUACCGGGAUAUGACUCCAUAACGCAUGUUGUGGGGUGGAAAGCCUUGUGCGGCUAGGGAUGGGCCCGCGGCCUAUCAGCUUGUUGGUGGGGUGAUGGCCACCAAGGCGACGGACGGGUAGCCGGCCUGAGAGGCCGACCGGCCACACUGGGACUGAGACACGGCCCAGACUCCUACGGGAGGCAGCAGUGGGGAAUCUUGCGCGAAUGGGCGAAGGCC
rnacentral:rRNA from 1 species